AUGGACCCGGGGCGCCUGAACUAUGGGAUCAUUACCCUCAUCCCUAAAGUCCCUGGGGCCUCGGACAUCCGCCAGUUUCGUCCCAUCACCGUGAUCAACGUGAUCUUCAGGAUCCUGUCCAAGGGGUACGCCAAUAGGGUGACCCUGCUUGUAGAUUCUAUUACCCACCCCAACCAGUCUGCCUUCAUACAAGGCCGAUAUAUUUUGGAUGGGGUGUUAGUCUUCCACGAAGUCCUCCACGAAGUUCGAGCGAAAAACCUCCGCGCGGUGUUCCUUAAGCUCGACUUCCACAAGGCCUACGACACGGUUCACUGGCCCUUCCUUCGGGAAGUUUUG
rnacentral:rRNA from 1 species